ACAACACCACAUAAACACGCACAUAAUCACAUUGGUAAAUUUUCUUCUAUUUUAUUAUGUUUAGUUCUUUAGAAUUAUGGUAUUUAUGUGGAGACAGUGUCCGGCCUACAGACCUUAGAGUACAAAUAUUCUUGACAGACCAGCAUGAAGCUUCCUUCUUAGUCAACAAAAGCAAUUUUUAAAAUUUUAUUUUAAUUUUAGUAACAUGCAACAUUAAGUCCCUGUUGUGCUCUCUUGUUCUUUGAUAAAGUGAAUCAACAUAAUUGGAAAAAUAGCUCUUUAGAAUCGAACCAGAAGACACAUGCUUGUGUGUGCAGACGCACACUCACAUUAUAAAACUGAAGUCAAGGAGCCA
rnacentral:misc_RNA from 1 species